rnacentral:rRNA from 1 species
GGUUACAGCCAUGUCACCCUGCAGCCCAAGACCGGUUACUCACUGAAGCUAAGCAGGGCUGAGCCUGGUCAGUACUUGGAUGGGAGACCACUAGGGAACACUAGGUUGCUGUUGGAA